AUUGAACGCUGGCGGCAUGCUUUACACAUGCAAGUCGAACGGUAACAGGCCUUCGGGUGCUGACGAGUGGCGAACGGGUGAGUAAUGCAUCGGAACGUACCCAGAGGUGGGGGAUAACGCAGCGAAAGCUGUGCUAAUACCGCAUGUGAUCUGAGGAUGAAAGCGGGGGACCGAGCAGCAAUGUUUGGCCUCGCGCCUUUGGAGCGGCCGAUGUCGGAUUAGCUAGUUGGUGGGGUAAAGGCCUACCAAGGCGACGAUCCGUAGCUGGUCUGAGAGGACGACCAGCCACACUUGGACUGAGACACGGCCCAGACUCCUACGGGAGGCAGCAGUGGGGAAUUUUGGACAAUGGGCGCAAGCCUGAUCCAGCAAUGCCGCGUGCGGGAAGAAGGCCUUCGGGUUGUAAACCGCUUUUGGCAGGAACGAAACGGUGUCCGCUAAUACCGGGCGCUAAUGACGGUACCUGCAGAAUAAGCACCGGCUAACUACGUG
rnacentral:rRNA from 1 species